UACGAAGGAUGCAAGCGUUAUCCGGAUUCAUUGGGUUUAAAGGGAGCGUAGGUGGCUUUAUAAGUCAGUGGUGAAAUCUCUGGGCUUAACCCAGAAAUUGCCAUUGAUACUGUAGGGCUUGAGUAUAGUUGCCGUUGGCGGAAUAUGACAUGUAGUGGUGAAAUACAUAGAGAUGUCAUAGAACACCGAUUGCGAAGGCAGCUGACGAAACUAUAACUGACACUGAGGCUCGAAAGUGCGGGGAUCAAACAGG
rnacentral:rRNA from 1 species